CUUAUAGGAAUAAGGAGCCGGUAUCAGGCACAUUAUUUUGCCCAAGACACCUAGCUAUGCCACACCCACAAGGGACUUCAGCAGUGAUUAAUAUUGAACAUAAGCGACAGCUUGAUUCAGUUAAAGUACACAAAGCCGGCAAAUCUGGUGCCAGCCGCCGCGGUUACACCAAGAGGCUUAAGUUGACUUCGAUCGGCGUAAAGCGUGAUUAAAGUCAUUAAAAAAAUAAAGUCAAACCACUACUAAGCUGUAGUACGCUUGUAUUGUAGGAAUCUCAUAAACGAAAGUUACUUUAACAACAACAACUUGAACUCACGAAAGCUAGGGAACAAACUGGGAUUAGAUACCCCACUAUGCCUAGCCAUAAACUUUAAAUUACACCCCAAUCGCCUGGGAACUACGAGCAGAGCUUAAAACCCAAAGGACUUGACGGUACCCCAUAUCCACCUAGAGGAGCCUGUCCUAUAAUCGAUAACCCCCGCUUAACCUCACCAUUUUUAGCCUAUCAGCCUGUAUACCUCCGUCGUCAGCUUACCACGUGAGCGAAGUUCAGUAAGCUUAAUGUCCAUACGUCAAUACGUCAGGUCAAGGUGCAGUAAAUAAAAUGGGAAGAGAUGGGCUACAUUUUCUAUCAUAGAAUAAACGAAAGACUAUUUAUGAAAUCUAGUCAGAAGGCGGAUUU
rnacentral:rRNA from 1 species